rnacentral:rRNA from 1 species
GACGAACGCUGGCGGCGUGCCUAAUACAUGCAAGUCGAACGCAUUUUCUUUCACCGUAGCUUGCUACACCGAAAGAAAAUGAGUGGCGAACGGGUGAGUAACACGUGGGUAACCUGCCCAUCAGCGGGGGAUAACACUUGGAAACAGGUGCUAAUACCGCAUAAUUCCAUUUACCGCAUGGUAGAUGGAUGAAAGGCGCUUUUGCGUCACUGAUGGAUGGACCCGCGGUGCAUUAGCUAGUUGGUGGGGUAACGGCCUACCAAGGCUGCGAUGCAUAGCCGACCUGAGAGGGUGAUCGGCCACACUGGGACUGAGACACGGCCCAGACUCCUACGGGAGGCAGCAGUAGGGAAUCUUCGGCAAUGGACGCAAGUCUGACCGAGCAACGCCGCGUGAGUGAAGAAGGUUGUCGGAUCGUAAAACUCUGUUGUUAGAGAAGAACAAGGAUGAGAGUGGAAAGUUCAUCCCUUGACGGUAUCUAACCAGAAAGCCACGGCUAACUACGUG